CAGAGACAUCGUGCGGUGGUUUUGGACUAUACAGCAGGGGACACAUUAAACAGUGAUUGUUUUUUAUUUAGCCUGUAUAUGUUCUGCAGAAUCUGCAUUAAACUGUAUUUUCCAAAGUACUGAACGGAUCUGGGUGAAUUUUGGAUAUGUGGUUCACCCAGAUCCCCCGGUUCCAAGGGUUAUUGCAUGUUUUGGGGUCCCUGUGUGUUUUAUGAAACUGUAUUAUUUCUGGCCAGCAGAUAAUUGAGCUUUGUGUAUUGUAGAAACUCAAUUAUCUAGCCUGGCCCAGAGGAGGAGUUUUGUGUUGCAUAAAUUGUGAGUUCUGUGUGCCAGUAAAUCAGUCUUGUUCCAGCAUUAAGCCUUGGCUCAUGUUUGGGGGAAGGGAUACCUACACUCUGGG
rnacentral:lncRNA from 1 species